GGCGGGUCGCCCCGCAUUGCACGCUCGCCAACCGGGUCAGGUUCGGAAGGAAGCAGCCCUAACGAGUUUGUGCAAGUGCCGGGGGUUCGGCUCGCCACC
rnacentral:SRP_RNA from 1 species